CCCACUAUGCCUAGCCGUAAACAGAGACAGUACAAACACAAAACUGUUCGCCAGAGAACUACAAGCUAAAACUCGAAACUCCAAGGACUUGGCGGUGCUCCACAUCACCCUAGAGGAGCCUGUCCUAUAAUCGAUACUCCCCGAUCAACCUCACCACUUUUUGAAAUUCAGCCUAUAUACCGCCGUCAUUUUAGCCUACCUUGUAAAAGAAAUAAAGUAGGCAGAACAGUCACUGACUAAAACAUCAGGUCAAGGUGUAGCAUAUAAAGUGGAAGAGAUGGGCUACACUCUCUAGCACAGAGAAAACGAAUAGCAUGAUGAAACAUCUGCUUGAAGGUGGAUUUAGUAGUAAGACAAACAAGAGAGCUUGUCUUAAUUAGCCCUGGAGCGCGCACACACC
rnacentral:rRNA from 1 species